CCCCAGGGGUAACAGCCAUGGGCCCUGGUUCAGGCCAACUGAGGACAGGGACAAGAACCAGUCCAGGGUGAGGAAAGGGCCAAGAGCCUCAUGGACCUGUAUAUACUCUAGCAGCCACUGCCAUCAGGAGGACCAGGACUAUACCCUCUAUGGAUCCCAUGCCACAAGGGCCUCUGACCCUGAGAGCAGAAAAGGCCAAGGGUAGGCCACUGGAUACUGGACCCUCCUGCUGCUGCUGGACCUGCAGAGCCCUUGGAGCAAGUCAGCCCAAGGCUUCCCCCUCGCUCACUGUAUUUCCACCCUCCUCUGACGAGCUACAGACCAACAAGGCUACACUGGUGUGUCUGAUCAAUGACUUCUACCCGGGUGCUGUGACUGUGGCCUGGAAAGCAGAUAGUACCACAAUCAGCCAGGGUGUGGAGACUACCCAGCCCUCUAAACAGACCAACAACAAGUACAUGGCCAGCAGCUACCUGACCAUCACGCCUGACAAGUGGAAAUCUCACAAAAGCUUUAGCUGCCAGGUCACACAUGAAGGAAACACUGUGGAGAAGAGUGUGUCCCCUUCAGGAUGUUCUUAACCUUUUGUCCCUCACCCCACCCUCAUGAUCCUGGAAGUGAAGGACCCUGGUGAGGGACCCCCUCCUUUUCCUAGUCUUCCCACUAAGCCCUUCUCUCUGAACCCACUGACUGCUCAAUAAAAAUAUCCCAUUGUGAAUCAGAAA